rnacentral:lncRNA from 1 species
UGGACUAUGUCAUUUUUUCUAUUUUUUACUAUGCUAAUUUUUUAUUAAAAAAAUCCCAAAACCCCACUACUGCCGUAUUGAUUAUGCUCUAAUCCUUUUCUUUUUAUUAGGGCAUCGAAUAUUGUGUUCUAUAUUGGUGGUGCAAUUGUGAGUAUUGAUCCACAAAUUAAAGAUGCUCGUAUUAUAAUGAGAUUUUUCAAUCACAUGUAUAGAAAAUAAAUCUUUGGAUACAAGUAUAUGCUUGUUGCUUCGAGACAUUAUAUUCUCUUUAUAUGAUCAUGAAUAGCACUCCUCUCUUUCCUGUAAAUUAUUAAUGAAUAUUUUUCAUAAUGUGUCUUAGAUUCAUGUGAUAAAAAAAAGGGGAGAUGGCAUUAAAUUUGUUUAUCUGAUACCAGUUAAAUCUUGAUCAGACUGACCUCGUACACAUGAAAUCUAGAUGGAGAUGCUUGCUUUGCAUGUUGGGGCCCUGAUCUUAUUCCUCCUCGGACAUGGCCGGAUUGUAUUGCAGCACAAACUACGAUCUUGGAUCAUGGUGUUACGAUAUCACCGGGAACAUUUUUCAGAGACAUCUCGUUUAACAAGCAAUCAUUUUGCAUCCUUUGAUUCAGAUGUUCUCAUCAUUUCAAUUUUUCAUUUCUAAUUCUCACAUAAAUGUGCUCAGGAAUCGUCUCCUGAGCAUAAAUGUCAUUAAUUGUUUUAUAAUCCUUGACAUGUUUCCAAGCGUUACAGAAGGGGAAGAUCAUCUUGCCAUUACAAGUGCUAUUCAAAGGUAAAUUUCAUCUUGUCAAUUAACCUCCAACAAAACAAUUGCUAGUCUUGGUUCUUAGCUCAAAUACCCUUUUAUUUUCAUAGCUAAAACUCUCUUUUCUUUCUCUAUCUCUCCCUCUCUCUCUGGGUUUUUUUUGUUUUCUCUUCUUUUUCUUUCUUUCUUCUUCCUUUUCUUCAUAACUAUCAUCAAUCCCAUUUAAGCUUAACUCUCUUUUUUAUUUUUAUUUCUCUCCAUCGUAGUUUCUUCCUCUCACAUGGGCCCUUUUUUC